rnacentral:rRNA from 1 species
CCUACGGGGGGCUGCAGUCGAGAAUCAUUCGCAAUGGGCGAAAGCCUGACGAUGCGACGCCGUGUGAGCGAUGAAGGCCUUAGGGUCGUAAAGCUCUUUCGCCUGGGAGCAAGAGAAGCUGACUAAUAUUCGGCUACUUUGAGAGUACCAGGUAAAGAAGCACCGGCUAACUCCGUGCCAGCAGCUGCGGUAAUACGGAGGGUGCAAACAUUGAUCAAAGGGCGUGUAGGCGGGAACAGAAGAGAGAUGUGAAAUCCUGGAGCUCAACUCCAGAACAGCAUUUGAAACUAUAUUUCUUGAGGGUAGGCGGAGAAAACGGAAUUCCACAUGUAGCGGUGAAAUGCGUAGAUAUGUGGAAGAACAUCGGUGGCGAAGGCGGUUUUCUAGCUUAUUCCUGACGCUGAGGCGCGAAAGCAAGGGGAGCAAACAGGAUUAGAUACCCUAGUAGUC